UUUUUAGAGGUCCAGCCUGCCCAGUGACAAAAUUAAACGGCCGCGGUACCCUGACCGUGCGAAGGUAGCAUAAUCACUUGUUCCUUAAAUAGGGACUUGUAUCAACGGCAUCACGAGGGCUACACUGUCUCCUCUUUUUAAUCAGUUAAACUGAUCUCCCCGUGAAGAAGCGGGGAUUCUUUUAUAAGACGAGAAGACCCCAUGGAGCUUUAAGCAAUGUGUUUAUCUUUUUUUCUAUAUCAACAUCAACCCAAACCUCUAAAUACUAGCUUUAGGUUGGGGGGACCACGGAGUAUAAAUUAACCUCCGUAAUAAACAGGCUCUGCCUUAAUCUGAGAGUGAUAACCCAAAGAAUCAACAAACUGAUAUCUUGUGAUCCAAUCAUUUGAUUAAUAAACCAAGUUACCCUGGGGAUAACAGCGCAAUCUACUUCAGAGCCCCUAUCGACAGUAGGCUUACGACCUCGAUGUUGGAUCAGGGUAUCCCAGUGGUGGCAACCGGCUA
rnacentral:rRNA from 1 species